rnacentral:rRNA from 1 species
GACGAACGCUGGCGGCGUGCUUAACACAUGCAAGUCGAACGGAAAGGCCCCUUUGGGGGUACUCGAGUGGCGAACGGGUGAGUAACACGUGAGUAACCUGCCCUUGACUUCGGGAUAACUUCAGGAAACUGGGGCUAAUACCGGAUAGGAAUCCUUGCUGCAUGGUGGGGGAUGGAAAGCUUCGGCGGCUUUGGAUGGACUCGCGGCCUAUCAGCUUGUUGGUGGGGUAGUGGCUUACCAAGGCUUUGACGGGUAGCCGGCCAGUGAGGGCGACCGGCCACAUUGGGACUGAGAUACGGCCCAGACUCCGACGAGAGGCAGCAGUGGGGAAGAUUGCACAAUGGGCGGAGGCCUGAUGCAGCAACGCCGCGUGCGGGAUGACGGCCUUCGGGUUGUAGACCGCUUUCAGCAGGGGCGAAGCUUGUGGUGACGGUACCUGCAGAAGAAGCACCGGCUAACUACGUG